rnacentral:tRNA from 1 species
GUAGACGUUAGCUCAAUAGUUAGAGCACAGGCCUCUGGCUCUCGGGUCCGCGAGUUCGAGUCCCGUCGUCUACU